GGGAGUGAAAGCAACGAGGCCCUUGCACGUGGUGCAAACAUGGUGUUUGCACGUACAGGAGCAUCAGCGCCGUGGGUUCGUCCCAAAGAGCAGCCGUGAAGGGGCACGAGGAGGAUUUCGGGGCGGAUGUUCUGCUGGGAGCCCCAGGAAGGAGCUGGCGGGCAGCUCGUGGUCAGGAAGGCCACUGGUUGUGAGAAAUAAGCCAGUAAAGCUCAUCGUGGGGCCAGCCCGGGCCAAAUCCUGUUCAGGAAUUUCCCCUUGUGCUCCCUGUGCAGCUCCAUGCGGUGCCAGGCCCUGCUUCUGCCCCUUUCUGAUCUUCAGCUUUGAGUGAGGAAGCCGAGGGUGGGGAGGUGGUUUUUGUGUCGGAGAAUAAAGGAGCACAGCCCGCUGGUGCCUUCAAUCUGCCCUCGUCUCUCCAUUUCGGAGCAGGGCCCAGAUCUCCCAGCCUAUAAAUCCUGGUCUCAGAGGAGGCAGUUGUGUAUUUAAAUGUUUCUGCAAGGGAAUCCAGUUCCUGGGUGGCUGUAACUUGCCGCAAAGGCAGAGGACCUCAGGAGUGUUGGCAAUAAGUGGGGAGCUCCCGGUGCACCAGACAAGGUCAGGAUUGUUUCCGUGCUGGAUGUUGGUGCUAAUAUGCGGCCGGGCGGUUGGAUCCCGAGGAGCUUGUAGUUCCCCGGCAAGCAGAUGAAGUAUUAGUGCCCGUUUUGUCCAGAAGCCUUCUCGUGCACCCUCGAGCGAGUCCUCGCACCUCGGAGCUGGCUUCCUCCCAUGCAAGGGGCCGAGCAACCCUUCCUGUGGCCGCCCCUGCACGGCCCGAGGGUGCUCGGGUGCUGCGGGGAGGGCAGGGGAGCGACGGAUCGGCGCCGGGAAGGAUCCGGCCCCAACUCCAGGCAGCCGCAGGCUGCGGCGGGCGAAGCUCGGCGCUCCCGCGGAGCGGGGAUGGAAGUUGUAAGCGAGAGCUGGGCGCAGCCCAAAACCUGGGGACUCCCUCCUCCCCCGGCCCCAGUGCAAACAGCAGAUUAACAAUUUAUUUGACGUGUUGCGGCUGGUUAGUUCCUUCGCCCGCUCCCCUGAUCAGAGGGAAUAAACGUUGCAGUGUGCAAUAAUGUUCAUUUCAGGUGAGGGUAAAUAUAGAAAGGAAAACCUGCUGAGAGCGAGCCAUUUAUUUCUGCCUUUGGAAGCCUCUGCUCAUAAACAGUCAGUCAUAGCCAUUUGGAAAAUCCCAGCGUGGUUUUCUUGGCCAUCCGAGAAGCACGUUUACUUUCCUGUAGGUUAAGAAGUUAGUUUUAAAUUAAAAAAAUAAUAAUGGCAUCUCACUUCCAGCUGCCCUCGGGUGUUUAGGGCUUGUUGACACACUAAGGCCGCUCUGUUCUCCGGCGAGGCUGCCCUGCUGCGGGAUCACAGAGGGGAUCCUGCAGGGCUUUCCCGGCUGCCGGCGCUGGGGAAACUUGUUCUUUGAUUUCCUCUUGUCCCCCAGCUUUGGGGGGCUCAGGGGGAUUGCGAGUGGGGAUUUGCUCAGAAAUCUCAGCCGUGUGCGGGGCUGGAGGGUAAUGGACAGGGGGUUUGGUGGGAACACCCAGAUAUUUGGGGUUGUAAGCGCCGGUGAGGCUGCAGAGAGGUGCUUGGGGUGAUCCCAAGAGGCACGGGGCUCGGGGGCCGUGUCCGCAGGGAGGCAGCGGGGCUGGGGCAGGGGGUGAGCCCGCCGUGCUGUGCUCACGCCGCACCAGGAAAACCUCCAAGGGUUUUCAGGACAGCGUGCCAAAGACAACAGGACAGCGCGAGCUGCAGGAGCAUCCCUCAGCCGUGCCCCAGAUGCUGCAGCGUAGGAGAAACCCCAAAAACCAGCUCUAUAGGACUCAGCUAAGAAAGGUGAGGACUCCCCGACCCGGCACCCGGGCUCUGCUUUCCCCCUUGAUCCCGACAGCAGCUCCGAGGACGCGGCGAAGCGGCCGCCUUGGCUUGGCACGCCGCUGGCACCGGGGGCCGGGAGCCAAGGCGCUGCAGCGGGCUCGGAGCGGCCGCCGGCUCCCGGCUCUGAGGUCCUGUGCAGUCAGGAAGGGUCUCUCCGUGUUUUCCGACAGGCUUGGGAUUUGGCUCGGGUUUGCCUCGGGUUUCCGAAGGCAAGAGGCAGUUAAGUCUCUUGGAAGAAUGAAUUAAUUAGCGAAUGCCUUUGGUCAGGUCAGCGCCCUCCAGGAGCGUUCUUCAGCCUUGAAAGCGACGCCUCUGCACCCAGGUAAGCCGCCCUGCAAGGCUCGUGGUCCCGGGGGUAUUUUAAGAGCUAUACGUACGUCAGCGCGGAGGAACCCUGCUUUAAAAAAAAAAGGGGGGGAAAAAUGAAAAAAAAAAAAAGCCUCCCCCAAAACGCGGUGUUGACUCUAACGGUGGCAUUUGUGUAAGCAACAAAAUAUUGACGCAGUUGGCUCAGGGCUGGCCGGGGCUUCUGGAAAUAAACUAAUGCCUUGUUAAAUUGCGUAUGGAAAUGCAAGUGGGAAAAUGACUGACAUCUUACACAACGCGGGCACAUAAAAUCGCUGCUUUACUGCAGCGUGAAAAAACUCAGGAAUUAAUAGGUCUCCUUCUGCUCGGGGGCGUUGGAUUUAUCCCCGAGUAAGAUCCAUAAACUAUUUUAAGGAGAGAAGUGCUACUUUUAAACGCACGCGUCUGGGUCCUGGAGUUGAAGUGGUGUCAGCGGUGCCGGGUUAACCCCUUGCCUUCUCGCCGGCCCCCGCGGUAACCCUCGUUGGAGCCGCGAGCCCCGUUCUUGGCAGAUCGGGGUGGACAUACGGACGCAUCGCCACCUGAUAAACGCUAAUAAAUCGGUUUUGGGGGGUGCUGAGCACGGUGUGUUCUCACGGCUUGUGUCAGAAACGCAUUUCAGGCCUCGCUUCAGCAGAACCUGAACCCCGAGCUUGAUUUGACGCGCGUGGGACCUAAAAACGCCUUUAAAAGCAGGCACCUGCUCCGCAGCAGCGCCUGGGCUGAGCCCGAAGCACACCCGCGGAGUUCUGCCGUCGGUAGCCGAGCGAUGAUGCAUUGUUUGAGUAUCUUCUAGGGGAAAGAUGGUCAACGGAGCUUCAAAGAGCGACGGAUCGCUUUCCUUGCUGCCCGAAGCCCCUUCCUUCUCCACCCACAUCCUGACGAGCUGCCAGUUGGCGUACACAUGCUGGUGGAAAAGCAGGACGAGGUUUGGGAAGCCCUGCGACGCUGGAAAAAAGGCGUCACAGCGUGGCAGGCGGUCAUUUAGCGGGACCCGGCGCUUUUCGUUCCCCCCCCCCCCUUGGAGGCAUCGCCAUCAAAUUGCAGGUUGAGGAAAGGAGAGAUGUGCCCGGGAGCUCGCGAUGGGGAUGGGCUGAGCCUGUCAAGCCCGGGCCCUUGGCUUAUUACUGGGAAUGCAGUGUUUUCCUCUCUGUUUUUAAAAAUAGCCCAUUCUGUUCCCAGUUUGGGACCGCACCCCUCGCCGGGGCAUCGAAACGUCUCGGCUGCUGCUUCCUCGAGCCAAGUUGUGGCAGCGACCAGCGUUAUUCAGCGCCCGGCGCGCAGGAUGGGUCCCGCCGGGGGCGAUGGCAGCGGGGUGCCUGUGCUCCUCGUGGAUGGGAGGAGAAGGCAGACCUCCUGGUUCUCAGCACAGUGCCUUAACCCCUUGGCUUCUUCUUCCUCCAGUGCCCCUGCCCGAUUCCGGAGCUGGUUCUGCACGCCCCGAGGUCUGUAAUGGGACUCUUGUGCCCGCUGCUUCGCGGUGGCUUCUUGCACAGCCUCAGAAAUCCUUUUUGGCCCCACCGCCGUGCAGAUAUGCCCAGGCACUGCUGAAGAUGGGGCUCAUUUACAGCAUACGGCAUUCAAUUCACGCUAGAGCUGGCGAGAUCAGGUUUUAAAGACUCUUUUUAAUUCGCACCGUUAGCAUGGGACCGCUCGUGGCCGGACUUUGCUUUGGAGAAGCCGACGCUGCCCGCGCAGCACACCGGGGGGAUGCAGGGGGGCGAAGGGAGCAUUGGCCCCGGCGCCUUCCCACAGCCUCCAUCCCUGCUCGGGCUCUGCAGCGGGGCUCAGCCCUGCUCCGAACUGGGCUCGAGCCAACGAGACGGAGGAGAACAAGAUUUUUACAGCCCAUUAGAGCUCCCCAGAGCCAUCCAGCCCCUCUUGUGCUAAAAGCAGUGGAAGCCACAGGAACACUGAGGCCGGUCUGCAGAAGAUGCCAGCCUGCCCCCCAGUUUCAUGUCCCCUCCUCGGGGCUCUGCCGGAGCCAGUGACCCCCCCGACAGCCCCGGGGUGCUGGAAGUCCCCCCGGGAGUGCCACGACGAGCUGGCGAGCACUGGCCCCGGCCCCCAGCUCCCUGUCAAGAUGUGCAUGGGAGGGUUCCAAGUGCAAAUGUGUGUUUGCUAAUGGGAAAUGAAUUGCCUCUUGCCCCGAAGGCUUGCAGCUUGAGGAAAACAACGCAGGGUCUAAGAAUGACCUCAUAUUGCCUCCCAGGGAAUGUUUUGCCAGAUGAAGGGGGGAGAGGCAGCAUCAAGACAGCACAAUGUAUGUAUCUCUCUCCCAGUGUAAACAUCCCUGUAGCUGCAGAAACCUCUUAAAACCCAGAAUGAGAGGAGAGCAGCUGCUUUGAUCUGUGGAUGUGGUUGUUAUUUUCUAAGUGCGGAUCCUUUCUUUUUUUAAUUUUGCCUCAAAUUAAAAAAAUGCCUGUUGUGA